ACACUCCUGCGGGAGGCAGCAGUAGGGAAUCUUCCACAAUGGGUGCAAACCUGAUGGAGCAAUGCCGCGUGAGUGAAGAAGGUCUUCGGAUCGUACAGCUCUGUUGUUAGAGAAGAACACGUGCUAGGUAACUACUAGCGCCUUGACGGUAUCUAACCAGAAAGUCACGGCUAACUACGUGCCAGCAGCCGCGGUAAUACGUAGGUGACAAGCGUUGUCCGGAUUUAUUGGGCGUAAAGGGAGCGCAGGCGGUCUGUUUAGUCUAAUGUGAAAGCCCACGGCUUAACCGUGGAACGGCAUUGGAAACUGACAGACUUGAAUGUAGAAGAGGAAAAUGGAAUUCCAAGUGUAGCGGGGGAAUGCGUAGAUAUUUGGAGGAACACCAGUGGCGAAGGCGAUUUUCUGGUCUAACAUGGACGCUGAGGCUCGAAAGCGUGGGGAGCGAACAGGAUUAGAUACCCCUGUAGUCCCAU
rnacentral:rRNA from 1 species